rnacentral:rRNA from 1 species
AAUGGGCGAAAGCCUGACGCAGUAACGUCGCGUGGGGGAUGAAUGCCUUCGGGUUGUAAACCCCUUUUGUGAGUGAAGAAGAUCUGACGGUAACUCACGAAUAAGUCACGGCUAACUACGUGCCAGCAGCCGCGGUAAUACGUAGGUGGCAAACGUUGUCCGGAUUCACUGGGCGUAAAGCGCGCGCAGGCGGAUCGGAAAGUCGAUAGGUGAAAUCUCCAGGCUCAACUUGGAGAGGCCCUGCGAUACUCCCGGUCUAGAGGCACCUAGAGGAGAGUGGAAUUAACGGUGGAGGGGUGGAAUCCGUAGAUAUCGUUAGGAACACCAGUGGCGAAAGCGGCUCUCUGGGGGUGUACUGACGCUGAGGCGCGAAAGCGUGGGGAGCGAACGGGAUUAGAUACCCCGGUAGUCCACGCCGUAAACGAUGAGCACUAGGUGUUUGGGGUAUCGAUCCCCUGAGUACCGAAGCUAACGCGAUAAGUGCUCCGCCUGGGAACUACGGCCGCAAGGCUAAAACUCAAAGGAAUUGACGGGGGCCCGCACAAGCAGCGGAGCGUGCGGUUUAAUUCGAAGAUACGCGAAGAACCUUACCAGGGCUUGACAUGUCGUUGACCGACUAUGAAAAUAGUUUUUCCUUCGGGACAGCGUCACAGGUGCUGCAUGGUUGUCGUCAGCUCGUGCCGUGAGGUGUUGGGUUAAGUCCCGCAACGAGCGCAACCCUUGCCGUGUGUUGUAUUUUUCACACGGGACUGCCCGGAGAAACCGGGAGGAAGGCGAGGACGACGUCAAAUCAGCAUGGCCCUUACGUCCUGGGCGACUCGCACGCUACAAUGGGUGGUACAGACCGUCGCGAUACCGCGAGGUGGAGCUAAUCGGACAAAACCAUCCUCAGU